rnacentral:sRNA from 1 species
CUUCUUCCACCUGCUGCGGGCAAAUGAAAUGGAUGUGGGCAUCGAUGCCCCCGGCGGUGAGGAUUUGGCCUUCCCCGGCGAUGACCUCGGUGCCGGGGCCGAUGACGAUAUCGACGCCCGCCUGGGUAUCCGGGUUGCCGGCCUUGCCAAUCCCGGCGAUGCGGCCCCCUUUGAUGCCGACAUCGGCCUUGACGAUGCCCCACCAAUCGACGAUCAGCGCAUUGGUGAUGACGGUAUCGACCGCCGUGGCGGAAUCCUGCUGGCCCUGGCCCAUGCCGUCGCGGAUG